AUGUCAUGUUGGUUAUAGAUGCAUAUAUUUAAUGUAACAAUAGCCUAAAAACAUCCUGUGGAAAUCAUAUAUGCCAAUUUUAAGAUAUAGCUUAACUCUGAGUAGAAAAAGAGGAGGAAAGGUGACAGGAAGGAUUAGGACAUAUCAGCAAUACUCCUUAAAAUGAAACAAGAAAUGAGGUUGAAACAGAGGCAGGGGGAAUGAUGGAAGGACGGAUGACACUUAUCAAGAAGCAUUGUACUCAGAAACUUACAUGUUACAUUGGCAAAAAAAAGGCAAAGAGAUUGUGACAGUGUGGCAACAUGUUAACAGUUGCUAAAUAUAUGGCUAACACAUACUUUCUCUGACUUCUUCUGUAAGUUUGACAUUUUCAUAAUUAAACUUUCUAUUUUAAUAAACAUUUUAAAUUACAUGGCAAGUCACUAUAACUAAAAUGUGUAGUCUUUAUUUGGAUCCUAAGUCAAGAAGGAAAACUGAAAACACACACAUGUGUGACAUUUAUAAAACAGUGAAGUUUUAAGCAUAAGACCCUAUGUUGAUAAUAUGAAAUUAGUGCUAAUGUUUUUCCUCAGUUCAAUAAUGAGUAUAAGAAGAAGUGCUUUAUCUUUUAGUAAUAGCUAUUGAAACGUUUAUGGACAAAGGAGGAUUUCUGAGAAUUUGCCUCAAAAUAAUACAGCACAUAGGACAGGAGUCUAGGUGAAAUACAGUUGGCCAUAUUGUUUGCAAGGUAGGAGAUUGGUGUAAGAAAAGUAAUAUAUUCCUUUGUGGAUUUUGCAUAUGUUUGAAAUGGCCCAAAUGGGUUCAGAUAGACAAGGAAUAUGCCAAUUUUAAUUAAUCGAAUUGAAUCAGGAUAGUCAAGUCUUGGAGACCUUAUGAAGAGGCAAGGAUAAUAUAGUAAGAGUGGGCAGGAUUCCAUGUGUGUAGCUACAAGGGUAAGCAGCCUUGCCCUGGCAUUAAAUCCCUCCAAAGGAGUCAGAAAUCAAGGAUGCCUGAGCACCAUGAUGGAAGAGAUGGCUUUCUGGAAAUAACUAGGAGCAAGCCUCUGCCCACGCUGCAACAGUUCAGCUUCUCAUCUUGCUGAGAGAAGGAGAAUCAAAUUGAUUUCUCUGCCAGCUACUGAAUAAGGCAGGAAAUCGACCUAGGAAUUUUAAUGCUGCAUUUACUUCUUACUGGUUCACUAGAGGAGAAAAGGGCUGUUAAAAUUCUUAAGCACACAAGAUGAGAGGGGUUUUCUUUAGCCCAGAAUAAGGCACACAAUUAUAUCAAACACACCCAUGCUAAUUAGUUCUAUCUGCUUCUUAAUAAUUAUGUUAUUAGCAGACUUGAAAAAUGGCAUCCAAAGCUCUGCUUUAAAGGUCUAUAAAUGAGCUUUUUUUCCCCUUCUAGAUGAACUACAAAAUUAUGACAUGUUUGAAAGUGCACAGGCCUAGUCUUCGUUGGAAAACUGGCAUUAAUCAUCUGGGAGGCAACAUAUUUUUUUUUCUUUUUAAAAAUAAAGAACAUGAACUUAGUAAUUCUCAUUUGUUUGAAAUAGCAUUUACUAAGAAACCAAACCCUAAAAUAUCUUUUCCAUUUACAGUCUUGCAUUUAUGUCAUUCUAAAAGGAUUACAAUCUUAAAAGUACAACACGAUAUAUAGAAAAGAUGUGCUGGCCAAUGCAGAUUUCACACCUUUGGAUGCCCUUUUUUAGAUGUAUAUUAUCAGAGUUAAGAUCACCAUAUUACAUUUCUGGAAAUCAAACUUAAAUACUUUUAGGAAUUAUACAAUUAGGAAAGAAGAGACUGGUCCUAGAAAAGCAUCAAAACUGGGAUUUUAAACUGCUGAAGCGGCAAUGGAAAAAGAAUGAGGAAACCAGUCUUUUGGACCUUCCCUAAACAAGGUCAUCUAAAAUUGUAUUCACAAGACAGAUAAUAUACCUGUAUUCACAGAUAUCUAUCUAGCUAAUAUCUCUGCAUCUUGACUUAUGACUAGUGACUAACACUGGAGCCUAUAGAGAGCUAGCCAGUUUCCCUUUCAUUAUUAUACAGGGGACACAAAUGCACCAUCAUGAGGAAGACCCCAGAGCAAGAGCCAGAUAGAGUAGCCAUAGCUGCUUCCAUAGUGAACAGCAGUCAUAGCCCCAUCAGACUUCUGAGGGCCACCUAAGUAUGUGAGCCAGAGUAGGAAGCCGUGGUCACUCAGGUGACAUGAUGGAUGGGAUGUACCAUGAGCCAGAAAGGGAACCCUACCGAGCGAUGGCUACCAUGUUAGAGACCCUGCACAGAGGGAGGAGCUUCCAGAUAGGGAAGCCAACACUUGUUCCAGGGUAGGGAAAACAUCGCAAGUGAACCUUCAUGGCCUCCCAGGAUGUCAUCAGAAAGGGAUGGCGCGGGAGGUCUUCCCUGUGGAGCCUGCCACCAUUGCUAAGGGAAAAAAGUGCUAGCAGUCAUC